GCCAGGUACGGUGGCGCAUGCCUGUAAUCCCAGAGGCUUGGGAGGCUGAGGCAGAAGGAUCUCGAGUUCAAGUCCAGCCUCAGCAACUUAGUGAGGCACUAAGCAACUCAGUGAGACCCUGUCUCUA
rnacentral:sRNA from 1 species